rnacentral:lncRNA from 1 species
CUGUUCAAAUCUCAUGGAUCACACUAUGUAACAUAAGCAUCUCACAAUUCAUCUUACAUUUUGAGCAACAGUUUAGAACGGCAAACAAGUAUUAAAUUCUUGAGUUUUGAGCACGAUCGUUCUUUCAAAUUUUCCAUUCUAAUUCAGGUCAAUAGGAUACAAUUGGGUUAUUUCUUGGGAAUCCUGUGUUUUCCAUGGUUACUUCAUGCACCACUUGCAUAUAAACGUGUCCAUUCUUUAGCUGCAACAUUGCCAACAAAAGAACACACUUGAUUGCCUAGUGGUUAUAUUCGACAUCGAAGCUGUGUUGUAAAAAACACUGUUUCAAUGUGAAAUUAGAAAUGGAAUUAAAAGUGUACCUGUUUCCACAGCUUCAGCCUCAUUUGUUUUCCAAUGCUUUGCAAUGUUUUCUGAGAGUGGAUCAUCAGGAUUUGGAGCACUCAAAAGUGCUUGAAUGCUAGAAGCAGCAGAAUAAUGCGGACUUGAGUGUUUAAAGUUUAAACAUUUUGAAAUUAAUUGAAGGCCAAAAUUACAUACAAAGGUUUUUAAAUCAAUUACUACCACUACCUUUAUAAUUACAGAAAAGUCAAGGAAAGCUUCUGUUUGGUAUGAGAUUGUAGCCAGAGUCAUACCUCAAAAGUACAGUUCUAAUCUGAAGUGCAGGACUCCAUUUGUCUUUUAGAAUGUCCAGGCAUAUUCUUCCAAGCUGCAUUGAUUUUACAUUCAGCUGAUGUGAUAUUACACUGAGAUCAAUCCAUAUAAACAAAACCAAAACCGAGACUGACCUUGUCGAUAUUUGGAUGGUAGAUUUUUGUUAGGAAGCGCACCUGUUACAAAGAAAGUACCAUUAGCAUUGUUCUUAUCCAGAUCAACAGACAGACUACUAAGAACUUUUAGAUUUUAAUAAAUAAAUAAAGAGAACACAUACACACACACACACACGUAUUUAAAUCAAUAGCCUGUGCUACACCAUAUCUGAAAAUUUUAACUUUGCAGCCCCAUAUUUAUCUAAAGUUGAAGUGAAUCUGUGAGGAAAAUUCUGAAACAAGGAAAGGUCAUUCAAAAUCAAAUGGACAUGGUCACCGAUUACCAGUCAACUAGUUAACAUAUGCAACACAUUCACACAACUUAACCAGAACUGAUUGACUGUUCGAGCAUAAGAAUCAUGGCAUUUAAGAACUGAUACCAGUAAAAAAAACAAAAUUAAGCUAUCAUUGACAAGGAAUAAUUCCUUUAAAAGGUUAAUAGAGCUAAGAUCCAAUAUGUGGAGACAUAGUGUAAUAAACCAUUUACCCUGUAUUCCUGGGGGGUCGACAAGAAAAGAACAAGUGAUUUUUUACAUUAACCAACAUAAAUCAAUAAAUACCAUGUCAUCUGACAAUGUUAUUCCAGUGUAAAAUCUCAUUUAAUUUGUGAAACGAGAUCCUUCUAUCAUUAAAAAGAGAGAGAUAGACUAACAUGACAAACAAUUGCUAAUUAUACUCUUCUUAUCAAGAACACAAGCACCACAACACAACACCAAAACACAAUUCAAUAAAAGUUCCUUAAUAACAGUGGCGGAUCCAGGAUUUUUAAAUUGGGGAUGCAAAAAAUAAUCUUAUAAACACUAGUGGAGCUAGGAUUUUUUUUGAGGGAGUUGAACUUCUACGGGGGUUCGGGGGCGGUAGCCCCCGAGAUUUUUUUUUUUGAGGCCUUCGAUACAUUUUAGACAUUUUUUUUUACUAAAAUACAAAUUUAAUAGUAAUAACUUUGCAUUUCAAAUGCAAAAUGUAUACUUUCAACUUUUUUGUUUAAUUAAGAAUUGAGGUAAUUGAUUGAUUAAAUGAUGGGCUUGAUCAAAAGAAUGAAAAAGAAAGAGAUGGUGAGCUCUCUUUUUAGUUGGGUCAAUGGAAUUUAGGAUUUUAAAAACUGAAUUUCUCUUUUAUUUUGGAUUAAAACUUUUAAUUGGGGGUGCAAAAACUAAAUCUAAAAUAAUUUAUAUAUGAAUAUUAAUACUAGUAAAAAAAAAUUUUUUUUUGGGGAUGCAACUGCACCCCCAUGUUCCAUGGUGGAUCCGCCCCUGCUUAAUAAGUCAUGAAAUGCAAUUAAUGGAAUUAUGACCUUGAACCAUACAGCCCUGAAGAAUAUUCUUAUCANCAAAUAUCUAAUUUCAUACAUUUCGAAACAAUAAAAAGAAGAGAAGGAUAAAGCAGAUUGUAUUAGUACGGGACAACAGUCCCUCAUGUUGAACUUCAAUCGACAUUUUUUUGGUUCAACUGUCCUAACGAUGGCAGAGUAUUUCCGAGAUGUUAACAAACAAGGCGUACUUCCAAAAGCCAAUAUUAAUGAUACCGAUUGCUGAUUGAUCAAUGAUCAGUCAACCAACUUCUAAGCAAACUUAUCAUCCCAUCUGAUCAGAUCGGUAUGCUUUGCUACUCUGCUUUAGGCCGAGAUAAGCUAAUUGACAAUCAUCGAUUUCUAGAAGCAAGAUAGACUGUUCAACAUCUCAUGGAUCACACUAUGUAACAUAAGCAUCUCACAAUUCAUCUUACAUUUUGAGCAACAGUUUAGAACGGCAAACAAGUAUUAAAUUCUUGAGUUUUGAGCACGAUCGUUCUUCAAAUUUUCCAUUCUAAUUCAGGUCAAUAGGAUACAAUUGGGUUAUUUCUUGGGAAUCCUGUGUUUUCCAUGGUUACUUCAUGCACCACUUGCAUAUAAACGUGUCCAUUCUUUAGCUGCAACAUUGCCAACAAAAGAACACACUUGAUUGCCUAGUGGUUAU